GCAACCCUUGUCACUCCCCUCCCUCACUAAAGGGAACUGGGUUGGAGGCAUUUUAUGUUGGCACAGGGGUCUCUCCCUAGACCCAGAGUCCCCCACCCCACAGAAGCACCUGAUAGUAGAGCCUACAGGUGGUGCAGGCAUGUCUCUUCCCCCUCCCCCUCCUUACCCUCCUCCCCUCCCCCUCCUUAGCUUCCCCCCUCCCCUCCCUUCCCUUCUCCUCUCCUCAUCCCCUUCCAGCCUCCCCUGCCAAUGCUGACUCACUGGGCCGCCCACUCACCACAGUUCUGCCUCUGAGGGCCUCUAUGCAUGGCUGCUGUAUGCAUGGCUGCUCUCUGUGGGCAUCUCCUGUGGUUCUUUCGCAAGCCCCAUGGCCUUUCUCCUUAUCUAGGUUCCUCCACUCAACUCGUAGCCACUCCACACGGCUUUCUUAAGAAAAACUAAGUCAUGAGCCUACAGCCCACAAAGAGCUGGAGUCCACCCAGCUCUGGGCAUCCCAGCCCUGCUCCCUGCCCACUCUCCCAUCAUGUCUCUCAGAGUCAUUCACUGGUCACCCUCAGAUGAAUGAGAGCUGGAGGCAUGGGGGCGUCCACAACAAAAUCAGUUCCUGGUAGAUGCCUAAAACCCCUCUUUUACAGGCUCAUUUCUAUCAGAGGCUCUAGCUGUACCCCACUCUGAAAGCUGAAUAGAUGCGAGAGUCUGUGGCCCCUGCCCUAGGUCCCCAAGCAUUCUGGCCCCACUGCUUCCAGCUCUGGUCACGCUGCCACCUGGGCUUGUGCCCUGACACUUGCCUCCACUUAAGGAACUCUUCAAGAUCCUGAGCUUCAAAUCCUCUUUAGAGGGCCCAGGCUUCUCUCUGCAGCCCAUUCUGAGGGAAUCCUAAUAGGUCAGGAGCAUAGGUACCAGGGAAAGGAAGAAUUCUAUCUCUACCUGGCACAUACCCUGAACAUCCACACUAGUGGAAAGAGGUUCCCGAAAGGAAGACAGGUCAUGUUAUCAUACUGCUGGAUGCACUUCUGUAGGAGGGUGACGGUGCCAGCACUGCUCUGGUGCUUUUGUGACCCACACAAGCUUCCGUUCUGACCAACCAUAGCUGCCCGUGAGUGCUUGGGGCAGCAGAGACAGGCCUGACCAGAGCCAAGAGCACAGUUCUGUCAGGGUUUUCUCUGUUAUCUCUGUCUGGCCCGUUUCCAUCUGGAACUCUCUAGAACUACAAACAAACUCAGGCAUAAAGAAAGCUUACCUGCAGGGUCAGAAGAGAGGCCUUUCCAUGGUGCAUCUAGUCUGUCACUGGUCAUCAACUCAAGGGCACCUCCACCCAUCUCUGUGAGGGCUGGCGGCUCAACCCAAUCAAGGAAUUGGCCUCUCAAAUUCCAGGGGCCUCACUGUCCACAGAUCCCAAGACCAACCAUAACACAAGGGAACGGUGAGUUACUACAUGAGGCAAUCAGCCAAUAAUAUCCAUGGCUGGUGCCAUUGGUAGGGAAUGAACCUGGGCCCAAGAGAACCUCUGCAAAGCCACAAACUCCCAAGGUCAGGAAUACAGCAGGACUCUAGCAGGGGAAGAACAGAGAUUUCGGUGCCUGAGCAGCAAGGCAAUCAGAUGAGGGGCCCUGUGUAGAAUAGCCCUAUCCACAGGGAUCAAACUUCCAACAAGAGUUACCAUCACACAGAGGAUGACUACCAUAUGUGUGCCUGCCUUGAUGCUGGGUAGAUAGGAAAAGCCACAAAAGUUGAAUGCUGAGAGUCUGUGACCACAAGCCUACAUGCAAAACCCCAGAGCUAGAGAUAACUAGUCUGAAAUCACAUACCAUGAAAAGUCCAGACGGACACACCAGCAGAAGGCAUGGGUCCUGUAGGGAGGGAAGAAUCAAUUGACUCAUUAAACACCCAUCCCUCCUGCCAAGGAGAAUCAAAGGCUGACAAGGAGGGUAAAGAAACAACCAUCCUUCCCCAUACUCGGUUCACCACUGUGCAAUCUAGUGAGUUAUACAGUAGAGCCACUGAGAACCUUAAAUCGGGAUUUAGGGGGAAUGGCACUAAGAUAGCAGGGUUGCUUUGAGGUAUGUGAUGGUUAAUCUUGGUUGGCAGCAUGGCUUGAUCUCAAAUGGACUGAAGGACAAAGUGUUGACAGACCUGUGGGUGACGUUCUUGAGGUGACUUGAAGUGGAAACACCUGCCCUCCCAGUAGUAGCCCAGAUAAAAGGAGGUCCCAGAAGAGAGCUCGGCUCUCUGCCAGCUUGCCUUUGUGACUCACUGGCAAGUUCAUCUACCCUGUGGCUGCUGCACUACUUCACUGGUAUCAGAACCCAGCUUCCUCUGG
rnacentral:lncRNA from 1 species